AAAUCACAGAUGUGCUUGAGUUCCCUUUUGUUUGGAGGAGUCACCUCAGGGCCGGGUGCACAUUAAAAACAUCUAGGGAGCUUUAAAAAAUCCCAAUGCCAAGGCCCCACUUCAAUCCUAUUAAAUUAGAUGCCCUAAAGGUGGGAUCCAUGUAUCCAAAUUUUUCUUAGAGCUCCCCAGGUGAUGGUAAUGUAUAGCCAGGGUCGAGAAGUCCUGACCCAGAGCUCUUGAUCCCACAAACAGUCCUUUUCUUUCCUCUGGGUCGACUUUCCACCCAAACAGCUUCCUGAUCUCCUUCACUGGAAGCGAAGACUGCCUUUCAGUUUAAUUCAGUUCAAUUACACACAGUUCAAUUCAGUAAAUGUUUACUCAACUGCUUCUCUACCUUUCAUUUCUGAUUGUGUUUCCAGGAGAGUGGUGAGAACCGUGUCUCCCAAAUAGGAGGGCAGAGAUACUUGAGUCUAUCUCAUUUUUUGAGAAGCAUAUUUUUUUUAAAAAAGCUGUUAAAUGCAGAUACAUUUCUAAAAAAUAAUGUAUUGAAUCGGCACAUCACAUUUUUCUGACACUCAAAGCUCUGAACAGAACUUGGAAACAGAAAUUCUGAAAUUGAAGGAAACCUACAUAACAUCAGAAGGAUCCCCAGAUCCUUUCUAAGAUGGAAGGCAGUAAAGUCCAUGCUAAAUCCAGAUACCCCUAAAUGCAGGCCCUGAGGAGUUUGAUAUGGGAGGGAAGACAACUCCAACAAGAAUCAGGUCCAGGAUUUAUAACUGGACAGUUUCAAAUCCAUGUGGAUGAUCCUUCAGUGUGAACAUUUUUGGGUGUCUACACAGAACCUUGAAUUAUAAGACCCCCAACAAAGGCCUGUUGGAAAGUUCCUUGAAACCAGGUGGAUUAAACUGGUCCUGGAUGUUUAGUUGCAGAUGCUCGCUGUGGGCAGACUGAGGAAGCAGCCCUCUACCACAGAUGUGCUAGAACAAGGUCAGGACAUUUGAAAAAAAAAAAAAAAAAUC
rnacentral:lncRNA from 1 species